CCUACGGGCGGCAGCAGUCGAGAAUUAUUCACAAUGGGGGAAACCCUGAUGGUGCGACGCCGCGUGGGGGAAUGAAGGUCUUCGGAUUGUAAACCCCUGUCAUGUGGGAGCAAAUUAAAAAGAUAGUACCACAAGAGGAAGAGACGGCUAACUCUGUGCCAGCAGCCGCGGGAAUACAGCGGUCUCAAGCGUUGUUCGGAAUCACUGGGCGUAAAGCGUGCGUAGGCUGUUUCGUAAGUCGUGUGUGAAAGGCGCGGGCUCAACCCGCGGACGGAACAUGAUACUGCGAGACUAGAGUAAUGGAGGGGGAACCGGAAUUCUCGGUGUAGCAGUGAAAUGCGUAGAUAUCGAGAGGAACACUCGUGGCGAAGGCGGGUUCCUGGACAUUAACUGACGCUGAGGCACGAAGGCCAGGGGAGCGAAAGGGAUUAGAUACCCUGGUAGUC
rnacentral:rRNA from 1 species